CGUGAGGGAAAGGCGAAAAGAACCCCGGCGAGGGGAGUGAAAAAGAACCUGAAACCGUGUACGUACAAGCAGUGGGAGCACGCUUAGGCGUGUGACUGCGUACCUUUUGUAUAAUGGGUCAGCGACUUAUAUUCUGUAGCAAGGUUAACCGAAUAGGGGAGCCGAAGGGAAACCGAGUCUUAACUGGGCGUUAAGUUGCAGGGUAUAGACCCGAAACCCGGUGAUCUAGCCAUGGGCAGGUUGAAGGUUGGGUAACACUAACUGGAGGACCGAACCGACUAAUGUUGAAAAAUUAGCGGAUGACUUGUGGCUGGGGGUGAAAGGCCAAUCAAACCGGGAGAUAGCUGGUUCUCCCCGAAAGCUAUUUAGGUAGCGCCUCGUGAAUUCAUCUCCGGGGGUAGAGCACUGUUUCGGCAAGGGGGUCAUCCCGACUUACCAACCCGAUGCAAACUGCGAAUACCGGAGAAUGUUAUCACGGGAGACACACGGCGGGUGCUAACGUCCGUCGUGAAGAGGGAAACAACCCAGACCGCCAGCUAAGGUCCCAAAGUCAUGGUUAAGUGGGAAACGAUGUGGGAAGGCCCAGACAGCCAGGAUGUUGGCUUAGAAGCAGCCAUCAUUUAAAGAAAGCGUAAUAGCUCACUGGUCGAGUCGGCCUGCGCGGAAGAUGUAACGGGGCUAAACCAUGCACCGAAGCUGCGGCAGCGACGCUGAUGCGUUGUUGGGUAGGGGAGCGUUCUGUAAGCCUGUGAAGG
rnacentral:rRNA from 1 species